rnacentral:tRNA from 3 species
CGCAGGGUAGAGCAGUUGGUAGCUCGUCGGGCUCAUAACCCGAAGGCCACUCGUUCGAGUCGAGUCCCUGCUA